GACGAACGCUGGCGGCGUGCUUAACACAUGCAAGUCGAACGGAAAGGCCCUGCGUUUGUGGCGUGCUCGAGUGGCGAACGGGUGAGUAACACGUGAGUCACCUCCCCUUGACUUUGGGAUAACUUACGGAAACUGGUGCUAAUACCGGCUAGGAGCUCCUGCUGCAUGGUGGGGGUUGGAUAGUUUCGGCGGUUGGGGAUGGACUCGCGGCUUAUCAGCUUGUUGGUGGGGUAGUGGCUUACCAAGGCGUUGACGGGUAGCCGGCCUGAGAGGGUGACCGGCCACAUUGGGACUGAGAUACGGCCCAGACUCCUACGGGAGGCAGCAGUGGGGAAUAUUGCACAAUGGGCGGAAGCCUGAUGCAGCAACGCCGCGUGCGGGAUGACGGCCUUCGGGUUGUAAACCGCUUUCGCCUGUGACGAAGCGUGAGUGACGGUAAUGGGUAAAGAAGCACCGGCUAACUACGUG
rnacentral:rRNA from 1 species